rnacentral:rRNA from 1 species
GGGGAUCGAAAGACCUUAUGCUUUAGGAGCGGCCGAUGUCUGAUUAGCUAGUUGGUGAGGUAAUGGCUCACCAAGGCGACGAUCAGUAGUUGGUCUGAGAGGACGACCAGCCACACUGGGACUGAGACACGGCCCAGACUCCUACGGGAGGCAGCAGUGGGGAAUUUUGGACAAUGGGCGCAAGCCUGAUCCAGCAAUGCCGCGUGAGUGAAGAAGGCCUUCGGGUUGUAAAGCUCUUUCAGUCGAGAAGAAAAGAUUGCGAUGAAUAAUCGCAGUUUAUGACGGUAUCGACAGAAGAAGCACCGGCUAACUACGUGCCAGCAGCCGCGGUAAUACGUAGGGUGCGAGCGUUAAUCGGAAUUACUGGGCGUAAAGGGUGCGCAGGCGGUUUUGUAAGUCAGAUGUGAAAUCCCCCGGGCUUAACCUGGGAACUGCGUUUGAA